rnacentral:rRNA from 1 species
UGGGGAAUAUUGCACAAUGGGGGAAACCCUGAUGCAGCAACGCCGCGUGAGCGAUGAAGGCCUUCGGGUCGUAAGCUCUGUCCUAAGGGAAGAAUGAUGACGGUACCUUAGGAGGAAGCCCCGGCUAACUACGUGCCAGCAGCCGCGGUAAUACGUAGGGGGCGAGCGUUAUCCGGAAUCACUGGGCGUAAAGGGUGCGUAGGCGGCCGAUAAAGUCAGGGGUGAAAGGCUACGGCUUAACCGUAGUAAGCCUUUGAAACUUAUUGGCUUGAGUGCAGGAGAGGAGAGUGGAAUUCCUAGUGUAGCGGUGAAAUGCGUAGAUAUUAGGAGGAACACCAGUGGCGAAGGCGACUCUCUGGGACUGUAACUGACGCUGAGGCACGAAAGCGUGGGGAGCGAACAGGAUUAGAUACCCUGGUAGUCCACGCCGUAAACGAUGAGUGCUAGGUGUCGGAG